CAGCAGUUCCCCCCGGCCGGCCCGGGCACGGGCGGCGCAGCAGCGCAGCGCCGGUGUUCCCUUCGGAACACCGCGCAAAGUGAUCGAGUGCUUUUCCUCCACUUUCCCUCACUUCGCGCCCCACCCGGCUGUCCCGACCACCCUCAGGAUGUUUUCCUCUGGUGUGCCUCUGGGCCAAAUCGUGCUAAAAAUCAUUUUUUUUCUUUUAUGCAAGGACACUUUGUCACUUGGUUUCCGUCAGUCUCCUGAGAAUGGGGAAUUUAGGUCUAGCGUGGUUCACAGUUCUGGUUUUUUAGGAGUUAUACUUGAAAGCUCAAUGUCGGACACAUAGCAUGAAAUCCGUCACUGGUGCUUUGCAUUUGUCUUGGAAAGGACAUACGCCCCGCCUGUCCCUUUUACUAACUAGGGAGACUGUGAAUAUUCCCAAGCCCAGCACCACGUGCACACGCCGCCAGCUGGCUCGCGCGUUUUCCACGGAGCCCUCUGGAGGGGAGGGAGCGCGGUUCGGACUAGCCUCUCCCGAACACCAAGUGCCGCUCUUAGCCCCGUCCAGCCCGCCCUGUUCAUCGGGGGCCUCGCCGCGCCAGUCGCCCCGGCUGCCUUAUGUAGGUAUGCGCGGCGGGCGCGUGACGUGGGCGCGGGGCCGUGGGCGGCCGCCGCCGCGAGUGCGCACGCUCCGCGCAGACGUGCCUCGGCGCCGCUGGCACUAGGGCCUCGUGGAACGAAUGCACAUUCCAGGGAUCCGGGGUCUACGGCCAGCGCGGCCGCGUCACAGCGCAGGCUCCACCCCCUUCGGCGAGUCUGGGCGUCGAGGCGCCGCCCCCGGGCCCGAACUUGGACUCGAG
rnacentral:lncRNA from 1 species